CACAAGAGACCCAAAUUAACUGUAGUACGGCGUAAAGAGUGGCACCAUGCUAUCCUACCAACUAAGAUCAAAAUGCAACUAAGCCGUCAUAAGCCAAAGAUGCAUCUAAAACCACCCUCAACACGAUCUUAGCCUCUCCGACUAAUUAAAUCCCACGAAAGCUAGGGCACAAACUGGGAUUAGAUACCCCACUAUGCCUAGCCCUAAAUCUUGAUACUUCCUACCACUAAAGUAUCCGCCCGAGAACUACGAGCACAAAUGCUUAAAACUCUAAGGACUUGGCGGUGCCCCAGAUCCACCUAGAGGAGCCUGUUCUAUAAUCGAUAACCCACGAUACACCCAACCACCCCUUGCCAAAACAGCCUAUAUACCGCCGUCGCCAGCCCACCUCUCCUGAGAGCCCAACAGUGAGCAUAAUAGCCCCACAUCCGCUAGCAAGACAGGUCAAGGUAUAGCCUAUGGGAUGGAAGAAAUGGGCUACAUUUUCUAAGAUAGACAAUUUCACGGAAGGGGACAUGAAACCGUCCCUAAAAGGCGGAUUUAGCAGUAAAGCGGGAUAAUAAAGCCCCCUUUAAACUGGCCCUGAGGCACGUACAUACCGCCCGUCACCCUCCUCACAAGCUACAUACACAUAUARCUAAUACGUUCCCCACCAGCUGAAGAYGAGGUAAGUCGUAACAA
rnacentral:rRNA from 1 species